rnacentral:rRNA from 1 species
GACGAACGCUGGCGGCGUGCUUAACACAUGCAAGUCGAACGAAGUGGCGAACGGGUGAGUAACGCGUACUCAACCUGCCCUUCAGAGGGGGACAACAGUUGGAAACGACUGCUAAUACCGCAUACUGAAGGAGGUGAUUGUGUCUGAUUAGCUGGUUGGAGGGGUAACGGCCCACCAAGGCGAUGAUCAGGAGCCGGUCUGAGAGGAGGAACGGCAACGUUGGGACUUGGAACCGGCCCAGAAUACUACGGGAGGCAGCAGUGGGGAAUCUUACGCAAUGUACGAAAGUCUGACGGAGCAACGCCGCGUGAGUGAUGACGGCCUGCGGGUUGUAAAGCUCUGUUAAUCGGGACGCGGUACCGGAAUAGAAAGCCACGGCUAACUACGAGCCAGCCGCCGCGGUAAUAC